GUACUGGCUUUGGCAGCACAUACAAUAAAAAUGGAGCAAUACAGAGAAGAUGAGCAUGGCCCCUGCUCAAUGAUGAUGUGCAAAUCCAUGAAGUGUGCCUUAUUUUU